rnacentral:rRNA from 1 species
UACGUAGGUGGCAAGCGUUGUUCGGAAUUAUUGGGCGUAAAGAGCACGCAGGCGGUUUGGCAAGUCGGACGUGAAAAUCCGGGGCUCAACCCCGGACCUGCAUCCGAAACUGCCCGACUAGAGGUAGGUAGGGGAGAUCGGAAUUCCUGGUGUAGCGGUGAAAUGCCGCAGAUAUCAGGAGGAACACCGGUGGCGAAGGCGGG